rnacentral:rRNA from 1 species
GGAGAGGGAGCCUGAGAAACGGCUACCACAUCCAAGGAUGGCAGCAGGCGCGCAAAUUACCCAAUCCCGACACGGGGAGGUAGUGACAAUAAAUAACAAUACGGGGUUCUUAUGGAUCUCGUAAUUGGAAUGAGUACAAUUUAAAUCUCUUAACGAGGAACAAUUGGAGGGCAAGUCUGGUGCCAGCAGCCGCGGUAAUUCCAGCUCCAAUAGCGUAUAUUAAAGUUGUUGCAGUUAAAAAGCUCGUAGUUGAAUUUCGAGAUCGGCUUACUGGUCGUGCUUUUGUACGUUCUGGUAUAAUCGGUUUCUCCUUUCUGACGAACUUUAAUGCCAUUAAUUUGGUGUUUUAGGGAAUCAGGACUGUUACUUUGAAAAAAUUAGAGUGUUUAAAGCAGGCUCACGCUUGAAUACAUUAGCAUGGAAUAACGGAAUAGGACGUUUGAUUUUAUUUUGUUGGUUUCUAGGAUCGACGCAAUGAUUAAUAGGGAUAGUUGGGGGCAUUAGUAUUCAAUUGUCAGAGGUGAAAUUCUUGGAUUUAUUGAAGACUAACUACUGCGAAAGCAUUUGCCAAGGAUGUUUUCAUUAAUCAAGAACGAAAGUUAGGGGAUCGAAGACGAUCAGAUACCGUCGUAGUCUUAACCAUAAACUAUGCCGACUAGGAAUCGGAUGAUGUUAAUUUUUUAAUGACUC